AACGAAGGAGGCGAGCGUUAUCCGGAUUCACUGGGCGUAAAGCGCGUGCAGGCGGUUCGGUAAGUUGGGCGUGAAAUCUCCUGGCUUAACUAGGAGAGGUCGUCCAAUACUACCGGGCUAGAGAGUGGUAGAGGAAGAUGGAAUUCCCGGUUUAGUGGUGAAAUGCGUAGAUAUCGGGAGGAACACCAGUGGCGAAAGCGAUCUUCUGGACCAUUUCUGACGCUCAGAAGCGAAAGCUAGGGUAGUAAACGGG
rnacentral:rRNA from 1 species